UGUGAAGUCACUGGGUAGAUUAGUGCAAGCCGUGUGAAGUCACUGGGUAGAUUAGUGCAAGCGGUGUGAAGUCACCGGGUAGAUUAGUGCGAGCGAUGUGAUGUCACUGGGUAGGUUAGUGUGAGCGGUGAGGAAUGAAAUGAGUGAAAGGGUUGCAGCAAUGGGAAUUACAUUCAUGGGUAGAUGGAGAGAGCAUGGGCAGGGUGCCAUUG